AUCGCUUCUCGGCCUUUUGGCUAAGAUCAAGUGUAGCAAAAAUAGUAAUAUUUUGAAUCAGUGAUUUCAUUAACAGAUAUUACUAUUAACCUAUUGUCUUGUAUCUUAUAAUUGUAAUGGUUCUCCCUCCC
rnacentral:snRNA from 1 species